GACGAACGCUGGCGGCGUGCUUAACACAUGCACGUCGAACGAUGAUCCAGGAGCUUGCUUCUGGGGAUUAGUGGCGAACGGGUGAGUAACACGUGAGUAACCUGCCCUGGACUCUGGGAUAACUCCGAGAAAUCGGUGCUAAUACCGGAUAGGACCUGGAACCGCAUGGUUUUGGGUGGUAAAGUUUUUCGGUUUGGGAUGGACUCGCGGCCUAUCAGCUUGUUGGUGAGGAAUGGCUUACCAAGGCGUCGACGGGUAGCCGGCCUGAGAGGGUGACCGGCCACACUGGGACUGAGACACGGCCCAGACUCCUACGGGAGGCAGCAGUGGGGAAUAUUGCACAAUGGGCGCAAGCCUGAUGCAGCAACGCCGCGUGCGGGAUGACGGCCU
rnacentral:rRNA from 1 species